GAGUCACUGUUAGGCCCGGUCUGAAAAGUUGUCGCUAAAUAAGACAAUUCAGUGAAAACGGGUUAACAUUAGUAACAUAUUGAACUAGAAUUAAUUUACCCUCGGCUGGGAAUUCUUCAAACUCAUCGUCCUCCUCUAAUAAUCCCAAAUCUACAGUCUGUUUCUUGUCAGACAUGUUAACUGCCUUUCCGUUGCGCGGGUCUAUCGUGAACAAAUGGACUUCCAGCGAGAGGGUUUCUGGGAUAGUGGAGGUUCAAGAGAAGUCUGCUUGCUCAUGGGCAGUGCUCUGCCAACAGAAUCCCACGUCACACGAUGCUCCUGAUUCUGCACGAAGUCGCUUGAGCUAAUGGACCUGCUCAAACCUCCACCUCCUCCUCCACCAUUGACCUACCAGGCCUCCAAUACCAGCUGACAAAUGCCCCCUGUCACAACGAACACUACAAAUGAUCUUCUCUUUUUCUCUCUCCCUCCGUCUCUCUCGAUCUGUCUUCACAGGUGGCUCUGCCCAGCGUUCCUCACUCUGUUGCACCCACCUCCCUCUCACCAUUGCCUCAGGCCCUGGCCUCUAAUGUACUCCUCUGGGACCCCAGCAGAGUCCAGAGGCCCAGAGACCAAAGAACCAGGCCUGCCUGCUGCUCCACUCUUCAUGCUCACUUGAAUUGAAUAUCUGAGAAAAACCUGUGGCCCUCUCUACCAUUCCCCCCACCCCACCCCCUUCUUUCCCUCUCCAUCUUCUUUGGUGACUGUGCUAUUUUUGGCUCUCCUCUGGACAUAUGUCAUUGAGGAGUGCGUGCAGUGGCUGGAUAAUUAAGGCUACCUCAAAGCGGGCAUAAAAAAUUGGGAGAUAUUUAUUAGGCAGUACAUUAGCUGCUUGUCGUGAGUGCGUGUCAGGCCUGUAAAACAAAGUUUGAUUGAGAAAGUCAGAAAAUGUGGUAGUGUAACUACUGUUGUUGCCGUUGGUACUCCAGCAGAGACGUGGAAAUCAUUCACUCACAAAGAUGUACUUGAUUUGGUCUGAUUCAUUUAUUGUAUAAAUAAAUUGUGACAAAAGUGUUUCUCGUUCUGCCGUCUCGUGCCUAGCGAGGUAUUUAUUUGUUGUAAUCAAGUGGACAGAGUGAUGUUUGUCCCCUGGUGCUUG
rnacentral:lncRNA from 1 species